UAGCUUUAAAGUAUACAGAAGCGCAGUAAUGCGGUAUCUAUCAUCUAUUUAGAUAUAGUGCGGCAGGCGCCGGCGCAUAACGUUGCGAAGCUGCCUUUUUUAACGACCACAAUCUCACGAGCUUGGAGGUCGAUUUGGCGAGAACGCGUAAGGGCUCAUAUUAUGAAUACGAGGCAUAGCUGGUAUCGCUGAUUGACAAACUAUGGGCUGGAAAGUUAUGUCUCGAGUAAGUCGAGGCGUUUGCUGAUGGCAGCCACUGGGAGGCUUCUCUGAUGCACUUGAUGGAUUUUCCAUGCUCUCUGCUUUGAACUGUAACUCAAUUAUAAUAAAGAGAAUUCGAGUGAUGCCAA